rnacentral:misc_RNA from 1 species
GCCCGAAGUCAUUACCUCAACCGCAAGGAGGGGGAUGCCUAAGGCAGGGCUAGUGACUGGGGUGAAGUCGUAACAAGGUAGCCGUACCGGAAGGUGUGGCUGGAUCACCUCCUUAAAGGGAGACCUAAUUCCAGUAGGAGACGAAAAAAAAGUAGUCCCUACCAAGAAUCAAUCCCAAAAGGUCGGAGCGAGGCAAAAUUGGCUUUCAAACUAGGUUCUGGGUUCACACAAGACCUGAAUCAGGAACAAGGGCUAUUAGCUCAGGUGGUUAGAGCGCACCCCUGAUAAGGGUGAGGUCCCUGGUUCGAGUCCAGGAUGGCCCACCUGCACAGGUGGAAGAAAGAAAAGAAGCUCCGAAUCAGCACCUUAUCUUACUUAUAUAGUAAGAGAGAAUGCUGGCUCUGAGUACAGAGUCCAGAGGAACCUUGAAAACUGCAUAGAGCUAGGUGAAAAAGCCAAAAAAGAAGACCGCAA